rnacentral:rRNA from 1 species
CCUACGGGAGGCAGCAGUGAGGAAUAUUGGUCAAUGGACGCAAGUCUGAACCAGCCAUGCCGCGUGCAGGAAGACGGCUCUAUGAGUUGUAAACUGCUUUUGUACGAGGGUAAACGCAGAUACGCGUAUCUGUCUGAAAGUAUCGUACGAAUAAGGAUCGGCUAACUCCGUGCCAGCAGCCGCGGUAAUACGGAGGAUUCAAGCGUUAUCCGGAUUUAUUGGGUUUAAAGGGUGCGUAGGCGGUCGGAUAAGUUAGAGGUGAAAUCCCGAGGCUCAACUUCGGAAUUGCCUCUGAUACUGUUCGGCGAGAGAGUAGUUGCGUUAGGCGGAAUGUAUGGUGUAGCGGUGAAAUGCUUAGAGAUCAUACAGAACACCGAUUGCGAAGGCAGCUUACCAAGCUACUUCUGACGUUGAGGCACGAAAGCGUGGGGAGCAAACAGGAUUAGAUACCCGAGUAGUC